GUGCUCACUUUGGCAGUACAUAUACUAAAAUUGGAACGAUAUGGAGAAAUUAGCAUGGCCCCUGUGCAAGGAUACAAUGCAAAUUCAUGAAGUAUUACAUAUUUUU
ensembl:snRNA U6 U6 spliceosomal RNA